rnacentral:rRNA from 1 species
ACGAGGUGGACAAACGUUAUUCGGAUUUACUGGGCUUAAAGCGUGCGUAGGCGGCUCAGAAAGUUGGGUGUGAAAGCCCUCGGCUCAACCGAGGAAUUGCGCUCAAAACUACUGAGCUCGAGUGAGAUAGGGGAGAGCGGAACUGAUGGUGGAGCGGUGAAAUGCGUUGAUAUCGAGAGGAACACCUGCGGCGAAGGCGGGUUGCUGGGCUGACACUGACGCUGAGGCGCGAAAGCUAGGGGAGCAAACAGGA